GCCGAGGACGACCUACCCACCUUCGGGUGCGUGUCAGUGUUGACCGAGGCAUCCUCCUAGUUGCGAUCGUGCUUAACUGUACGACUCGUACUAGGACUUUUACUUUGAGGAAAUUAGAGUGUUUCAAGCAGGCAUAUGCCUUGAAUAUAUUAGCAUGGAAUAAUAAUUUAGGACUUCGGUUCUAUUUUGUUGGUUUCUAGAACUGAAGUA
rnacentral:rRNA from 1 species